CUCUCGUUUUCCCUCGUUCUCGCUUUAUCUUUCUGUCUCUCUUUGUCUCUUGUGCUCUCUCUUUCUCUCUCCUGUCCUUCACGUAAAAACAGCUGAUUGUGGCGUACCUCACAAUCGGGGAGAGGGGCUUUAAUAAUAAAAUCUAAAUGUUCAUCUAGGAAAGAGGCUGUGCAGCAACGUUUUGGGAACCACUGCUGUGAGAUCGGUGUCACUACGCUGUAGUCGAUGUUUUUCAGAACAAUGAAAUACUGUAAGAAGUAUUUGCCUUGAUAUAGUAACUAUUAUAAAACCCAGCGUUGACAGUGUUUUAUCUGUCUUUGGGUCUGAAGAUAUCAAGUUAAAUAAUUACUGUAGUUAUUAUUUACAGGUUUCUCUGAUGUACCUGAAUCAGAUCUUUCUAGACGUGUCUUUUUAUACGACGACUACGUUAGCUCCUGCGACAGCAGCUAACGGUCUGUGUGCUUUGAUCGAGAAUUAUACCACUAAUGCCAAUCUGGACUGAACGGUGUUAACACAGCUGGUGUCGAUUCCUUUUCAGUUCAGGAAGUUGUGUAACGUUUUUAAGUAUUUCCGUACAUUUGAGCUUAAAAUAAUGAAUGGACAAUGGUUUAUAUCGGCGGAAGUAGCUCAGCAUCAUGGACAAAAUGUUUUUGAUUUGUCUUAACUUUUUAUCUUUUGUCUGCGUGGUGUUUCUGGAUUCAUUCGGCUGUUAAUUUGCCCUUUUUUUUGAUGCCGAGUGAGACAAAACAAAGCCAGCUGAUGACUCCAUUAAAGCACUGAACCAGGGGUGUCAGACUCAUUCAGUUCCUGGGCCACAGUCCCCUAAUUAGGGUUGGGUAUCGAUUUGGAUUUUUUACGAUUCCUAAACCGGUUCUUGAAAAAUGACGUGCUUCCCCCUUUGCACGUAAUCGUUUUGAAACAUUUGUUGUAUUUUGCGAUGUCGGAAUCCUUUCGACCGCUUUGCUGUAGGCAUUUUAAAUGCACUAAAAGCUAGCUAGCUAACGACAGACUAGCAUAGCAAGUAGCGUUGGGCGGGAUA